rnacentral:tRNA from 1 species
GUGCAUGUGUGUUCCUGUAGUUAAGAUUUGGUUUAACGGUGGCUUUUCGGGCCACAGACCUUGGAAAAA